rnacentral:rRNA from 1 species
CCUACGGGAGGCAGCAGUGAGGAAUAUUGGUCAAUGGGCGUAAGCCUGAACCAGCCAAGUCGCGUGAGGGAUGAAGGUUCUAUGGAUUGUAAACCUCUUUUAUAAGGGAAUAAAGUGCUGCACGUGUCCCGUUUUGUAUGUACCUUAUGAAUAAGGAUCGGCUAACUCCGUGCCAGCAGCCGCGGUAAUACGGAGGAUCCGAGCGUUAUCCGGAUUUAUUGGGUUUAAAGGGUGCGUAGGCGGCCUUUUAAGUCAGCGGUGAAAGUCUGUGGCUCAACCAUAGAAUUGCCGUUGAAACUGGGAGGCUUGAGUAUGGUUGAGGCAGGCGGAAUUCGUGGUGUAGCGGUGAAAUGCUUAGAUAUCACGCAGAACCCCGAUUGCGAAGGCAGCCUGCCAGGCCAUGACUGACGCUGAUGCACGAAAGCGUGGGGAUCAAACAGGAUUAGAUACCCGGGUAGUC